AGGACGAACGCUGGCGGCGUGCUUAACACAUGCAAGUCGAGCGGAAAGGCCUUUCGGGGUACUCGAGCGGCGAACGGGUGAGUAACACGUGAGUAAUCUGCCCAUCGCUUCAGGAUAGCCAUCGGAAACGGUGAUUAAUACUGGAUAUGACAUUCCUUCGCAUGUUGGGGUGUGGAAAGUUUUUUCGGCGGUGGAUGUGCUCGCGGCCUAUCAGCUUGUUGGUGGGGUAAUGGCCUACCAAGGCUUUGACGGGUAGCCGGCCUGAGAGGGUGACCGGCACACUGGGACUGAGACACGGCCCAGACU
rnacentral:rRNA from 1 species